rnacentral:lncRNA from 1 species
GUAUGCUGCAUAUCUCUGCCAGUGUUACUGCAGAGGGGUGCAGCUGAGCCUGAUCUCAACACAGCUGAAGCUCAAGCACUGCCAAGAACAGAGUGUGUUCGGUGCUGCUGUAGGAAGUAUGGCUUGUCUUCGUAUGCAGGAGCUCUCCUUGUUCUCAUUGCCUCCCUUGAGUGCCAGAGUCCUGGAGAUGUAACUGGUGUGGGAAGUACCGACAGGACAUGACUCAAAAAUACAUACAAGCGUAUCACUCUACAUUCAUGCAAGUUAAUUCCCAUGGAUUUGCUGCCAAGGAUGGCUGUACUGCACUGGAAGUAACAGGUCUAAUCAUCCUCAUGGAUCCCGUGGAGCCAUGGUUGGUUGGUUGGUUGGCUGAAGCAGUUUCAAGCCCAAGAGUAAAGCUGGAGCAGCCUGGAGCAGUGCUACUGUCCACACACUGGGUGACCUCAUGCAUGUAUACACCAGAGAGAUAAACGAAAGUUAAACUCUGUGAGAUGCAGCCUCCAUCACCCAUGAGAGCUUUCUCCAGGGGAAUUCCAUAAAAAAAAGAGCAAUAAGUAUAUCUGCUAAAUACAAAUAUAGGAUUAACAGCAACUGACCCUAUGGCAAGACCCCAGUCAAGCUGCUGAAAUGAAAUAAAAAGCUUGCAGUAAGUCCCA